UGAAUUGACGGGGGCCCGCACAAGCGGUGGAGUAUGUGGUUUAAUUCGAUGCAACGCGAAGAACCUUACCUAGGUUUGACAUCCGGAAGACCUUCCCGAAAAGGAAGGGUGCCCUUCGGGGAAUUCCGAGACAGGUGCUGCAUGGCUGUCGUCAGCUCGUGCCGUGAGGUGUUGGGUUAAGUCCCGCAACGAGCGCAACCCUAUUGCCAGUUGCUACCAGGUAAUGCUGGGCACUCUGGUGAGACUGCCCCGGUUAACGGGGAGGAAGGUGGGGACGACGUCAAGUCAUCAUGGCCCUUACGCCUAGGGCUACACACGUACUACAAUGGCGCAUACAAAGGGCAGCGAUACCGCGAGGUGGAGCCAAUCCCAAAAAGUGCGUCCCAGUCCGGAUUGCAGUCUGCAACUCGACUGCAUGAAGUUGGAAUCGCUAGUAAUUCGAGAUCAGCAUGCUCGGGUGAAUGCGUUCCCGGGCCUU
rnacentral:rRNA from 1 species